UGAGGAAUAUUGGACAAUGGAUGGAAAUCUGAUCCAGCCAUGCCGCGUGCAGGAAGACGGCCCUAUGGGUUGUAAACUACUUUUGUAUGGGAGCAAUAAGGUCUAUGCGUAGACUGAUGAGAGUACCAUACGAAUAAGCAUCGGCUAACUCCGUGCCAGCAGCCGCGGUAAUACGGGGGAUGCAAGCGUUAUCCGGAUUUAUUGGGUUUAAAGGGUGCGUAGGCGGUUUGAUAAGUCAGCGGUGAAAUAUUUCAGCUUAACUGAAAGGGUGCCGUUGAUACUGUCAGGCUUGAAUAUGGUUGCUGUGGGUGGAAUGUGUGGUGUAGCGGUGAAAUGCUUAGAUAUCACACAGAAUAUCGAUUGCGAAGGCAGCUCACAAAGCCAUUAUUGACGCUGCUGUAUGAUAGUGUGGGGCUUAAACAGGGGUGGAACAUGGUGUAGUA
rnacentral:rRNA from 1 species